AGUGAACGCUGGCGGUAGGCCUAACACAUGCAAGUCGAACGGCAGCACAGUAAGAGCUUGCUCUUACGGGUGGCGAGUGGCGGACGGGUGAGGAAUACAUCGGAAUCUACUUUUUCGUGGGGGAUAACGUAGGGAAACUUACGCUAAUACCGCAUACGACCUACGGGUGAAAGCAGGGGAUCUUCGGACCUUGCGCGAUUGAAUGAGCCGAUGUCGGAUUAGCUAGUUGGCGGGGUAAAGGCCCACCAAGGCGACGAUCCGUAGCUGGUCUGAGAGGAUGGACCGCCCAACUAGGACUUAGAAAAGGGCCCGACUCCCAAGGGAGGAGACCGGUGGGGAACUUUCGACAGGGGGCGAAGCCCUGAGCCGGCCAUCCCGGUGAGUGAAGAAGGCCCUUGGGUUUGAAACCCCUUUUUUUUGGGAAGAAAAAGCGGGUGAUUAAAUCCCCGCUUUUUGGCGGUGCCCAAAAAAAAAAGCACGGCCAACUUCCGG
rnacentral:rRNA from 1 species